UCCUGUGUGGCUCAGGUGGUAAGAGCAUGGUGCUAGCAACACCAGUGUCGUAGGUUCAAUUCCCAUGGGGA
rnacentral:tRNA from 1 species